rnacentral:rRNA from 1 species
GAUGAACGCUAGCGGCAGGCUUAACACAUGCAAGUCGAGGGGUAUAGGUUUUCGGACCUAGAGACCGGCGCACGGGUGCGUAACGCGUAUGCAAUCUACCUUGUACAGGGGGAUAGCCCAGAGAAAUUUGGAUUAAUACCCCAUAGUAUUAUAGAAUGGCAUCAUUUUAUAAUUAAAGUUCCAACGGUACAAGAUGAGCAUGCGUCCCAUUAGCUAGUUGGUAUGGUAACGGCAUACCAAGGCUACGAUGGGUAGGGGUCCUGAGAGGGAGAUCCCCCACACUGGUACUGAGACACGGACCAGACUCCUACGGGAGGCAGCAGUGAGGAAUAUUGGUCAAUGGACGCAAGUCUGAACCAGCCAUGCCGCGUGCAGGAUGACGGUCCUAUGGAUUGUAAACUGCUUUUGUACAGGAAGAAACACUCCUACGUGUAGGAACUUGACGGUACUGUAAGAAUAAGGAUCGGCUAACUCCGUGCCAGCCGCCGCGGUAA